GAGAUAACUCCUACGGGAGGCAGCAGUGGGGAAUUUUGGACAAUGGGGGCAACCCUGAUCCAGCAAUGCCGCGUGUGUGAAGAAGGCCUUCGGGUUGUAAAGCUCUUUUGUCAGGGAAGAAACGGUAGUAGCUAAUAUCUAUUACUAAUGACGGUACCUGAAGAAUAAGCGCCGGCUAACUACGUGCCAGCAGCCGCGGUAAUACGUAGUGUGCAAGCUUUAAUCGGAAUUACUGGGCGUAAAGCGUGCGCAGGCGGUUGUGUAAGUCAGAUGUGAAAUCCCCGGGCUCAACCUGGGAAUUGAAUUUGAGGCUGCACGGCUAGAGUGUGUCAGAGGGGGGUAGAAUUCCACGUGUAGCAGUGAAAUGCGUAGAUAUGUGGAGGAAUACAGAUGGCGAAGGCAGCCCCCUGAGAUAACACUGACGCUCAUGCACGAAAGCGUGGUGAGAAAACAGGAUUAGAUACCCGAGUAGUCCUCCACU
rnacentral:rRNA from 1 species